rnacentral:rRNA from 1 species
UACGUAGGGGGCGAGCGUUGUCCGGAAUCAUUGGGCGUAAAGCGCGUGUAGGCGGUCCGGUAAGUCCGCUGUGAAAGUCGGGGGCUCAACCCUCGAAUGCCGGUGGAUACUGUCGGGCUAGAGUGCGGAAGAGGCGAGUGGAAUUCCGGUGUAGUGGUGAAAUGCGUAGAUAUCGGGAGGAACACCAGUGGCGAAGGCGGCAUCCUGGCCCGUGUCCGUGACGCUCAGGGCGAAAGCGUGGGGAGCAAGCCGGAGUUAGAUGACC